CAAAUUAAACCUCCUCCUCUUCUCUUCCGGACUAUGCCCUUCCGAAUGAGACUUGGGCUCCUCAGGGUGCCUCUUCUGCGACAUUAUGACAACCCAAAAGAAAACCAAAUCCCAGCCCCAAAAAAAGGAGCAACAAGAACACUAUCUGUUGCAUCCAUCAUCUGGGUUUGGCCGCAUCUGGUUUGCCUCUUCGCUCAUCUUCCAGGCUCGUCUUUUUGGCAGUGAAAUCGCAU
rnacentral:misc_RNA from 1 species